rnacentral:rRNA from 1 species
UGGGGAAUCUUGCGCAAUGGACGAAAGUCUGACGCAGCCACGCCGCGUGAGUGAAGAAGGCCUUCGGGUUGUAAAGCUCUGUCGAGCGGGACGAACAUCCUGGGUGUUAACAGCAUCCAGGACUGACGGUACCGCUAAAGGAAGCACCGGCUAACUCUGUGCCAGCAGCCGCGGUAAUACAGAGGGUGCAAGCGUUGCUCGGAAUCAUUGGGCGUAAAGGGUAGGUAGGUGGUCUCAUUUGUCUGGGGUGAAAGCCUUGAGCUUAACUCGAGAAGUGCCCCGGAAACGGUGAGACUAGAGUCUUGGAGAGGGUCGUGGAAUUCCCGGUGUAGCGGUGAAAUGCGUAGAGAUCGGGAGGAACACCAGAGGCGAAGGCGGCGACCUGGACAAGUACUGACACUCAACUACGAAAGCGUGGGGAGCAAACAGGAUUAGAUACCCCCGUAGUCC